rnacentral:rRNA from 1 species
GGCAAUAGCUCAAAUUUGAAAUCUGGUGUCUUUGGCGUCCGAGUUGUAAUUUGAAGAAGGUAUCUUUGGUUUUGGCUCUUGUCUAUGUUUCUUGGAACAGAACGUCACAGAGGGUGAGAAUCCCGUGCGAUAAGAUGUCCAAUUCCGUGUAAAGUUCCUUCGACGAGUCGAGUUGUUUGGGAAUGCAGCUCUAAGUGGGUGGUAAAUUCCAUCUAAAGCUAAAUAUUGGCGAGAGACCGAUAGCGAACAAGUACAGUGAUGGAAAGAUGAAAAGAACUUUGAAAAGAGAGUGAAAAAGUACGUGAAAUUGUUGAAAGGGAAGGAAUUGAGGUCAGACUUGGUAUUUUGCUUCUGCAGUUUACCGGGCCAGCAUCGAUUCGGAUGGCGGGAUAAUGGCGUUGGAAAGUGGCUCCAUUUCGGUGGAGUGUUAUAGCCUUCGUUGAUGCCGCCUGUCUGGAUCGAGGACUGCGUCUUUGACUAGGAUGCUGGCAUAAUGACCUU